rnacentral:rRNA from 1 species
UACGUAGGGGGCAAGCGUUGUCCGGAAUCAUUGGGCGUAAAGAGCGUGUAGGCGGCUCGGUAAGUCCGCUGUGAAAGUCCAGGGCUCAACCCUGGAAUGCCGGUGGAAACUGUCGAGCUAGAGUCCGGAAGAGGCGAGUGGAAUUCCUGGUGCAGCGGUGAAAUGCGCAGAUAUCAGGAGGAACACCAAUGGCGAAGGCAGCUCGCUGGGACGGUACUGACGCUGAGACGCGAAAGCGUGGGGAGCAAACAGG